rnacentral:rRNA from 1 species
UGAGGAAUAUUGGUCAAUGGGGGCAACCCUGAACCAGCCAAGUCGCGUGAAGGAUGAAGGUCUUAUGGAUUGUAAACUUCUUUUAUACAGGAAUAAAUUGGGGGACGUGUCCCCUUUUGCAUGUACUGUAUGAAUAAGGAUCGGCUAACUCCGUGCCAGCAGCCGCGGUGAUACGGAGGAUCCGAGCGUUAUCCGGAUUUAUUGGGUUUAAAGGGUGCGCAGGCGGGAUGUUAAGUCGGCGGUGAAAUUUUGCAGCUCAACUGUAAAAGUGCCUUCGAUACUGGCUUCCUUGAGUGUAGAUGAAGUAGGCGGAAUUUGUGGUGUAGCGGUGAAAUGCUUAGAUAUCACGAGGAACUCCGAUUGCGCAGGCAGCUUACUAAACUACAACUGACGCUCAUGCACGAAGGCGUGGGGAUCAAACA